GCUGCUCUUCGCCAGGCCGAGCUAUGUCCCAAUUCUUCCUCAGCCUCUGCUCCUCCACCCUAUAAUCUUUUCAUCACCUCCCCUCCUCACACCUGGUCCAGCUUACAGUUUCAUUCCAUGACUAGCCCUCCCCCACCUGCCCAGCAAUUUACUCUUAAAAAGGUGGCUGGAGCUAAAGGCAUAGUCAAGGUUAAUGCUCCUUUUUCUUUAUCCCAAAUCACAUAGCGUUUAGGCUCUUUUUCAUCAAAUAUAAAAAUCCAGCCCAGUUCAUGGCUCGUUUGGCAACAACCCUGAGACGCUUUACAGCCCUAGACCCUAAAAGGUCAAAAGGCCGUCUUAUUCUCAAUAUACAUUUUAUUACCCAAUCUGCUCCCGACAUUAAAUAAAACUCCAAAAACUGGAAUCUGGCCCUCAAACCCCACAACAGGACUUAAUUAACCUCACCUUCAAGGUGUACAAUAACAGAAAAAAGUUGCAAUUCCUUGCCUCCACUGUGAGACAAACCCCAGCCACAUCUCCAGCACACAAGAACUUCCAAACUCCUGAACCGCAGCAGCCAGGCAUUCGUCCAGAACCCCCUCCCCCAGGAGCUUGCUACACAUGCCAGAAAUCUGGCCACUGGGCCAAGGAAUGCCCGCAGCCCGGGAUUCCUCCUAAGCCGCAUCCCAUCUGUGUGGGACCCCACUGAAAAUCGGACUGUUCAACUCACCUGGCAGCCACUCCCAGAACCCCUGGAACUCUGGCCCAAGGCUCUCUGACUGCUUCCCAGAUCUUCUUGGCUUAGCGGCUGAAGACUGACACUGCCCGAUCACCUCGGAAACCCCCUAGACCAUCACAGACGCCGAGCUUCAGGUAACUCUCACAGUGGAAGGUAAGCCCGUCCCCUUCUUAAUCAAUAUGGAGGCUACCCACUCCACAUUACCUUCUUUUCAAGGACCUGUUUCCCUUGCCUCCAUAACUGUCGUGGGUAUUGACGGCCAGGCUUCUAAACCUCUUAAAACUCCCCAACUCUGGUGCCAACUUAGAAAAUACUCUUUUAAGCACUCCUUUUUAGUUAUCCCCACCUGCCCAGUUCCCUUAUUAGGCUGAGACACUUUAACUAAAUUAUCUGCUUCCCUGACUAUUCCUGGACUACAGCUAUAUCUCAUUGCCGCCCUUCUUCCCAAUCCAAAGCCUCCUUUGUGUCCUCCUCUUGUAUCCCCCCACCUUAACCCACAAGUAUAAGAUACCUCUACUCCCUCCUUGGUGACCGAUCAUGCACCCUUUACCAUCUCAUUAAAACCUAAUCACCCUUACCCCACUCAAAGCCAAUAUCCCAUCCCGCAGCACGCUUUAAAAAGAUUAAAGCUUGUUAUCACUCACCUGCUACAGCAUGGCCUUUUAAAGCCUAUAAACUCUCCGCACAAUUCCCCCAUGUUACCUGUCCUAAAACCAGACAAGCCUUACAAGUUAGUUCAGGAUCUCCAUCUUAUCAACCAAAUUGUUUUGCCUAUCCACCCUGUGGUGCCCAACCCGUACACUCUUUUGUCCUCAAUACCUUCCUCCACAACUCACUAUUCCAUGCUUGAUCUUAAAGAUGCUUUUUUCACUAUUCCCCUGCACCCCUCAUCCCAGCCUCUCUUCUUUCACUUAGACUGACCCUGACACCCAUUAGGCUCAGCAAAUUUCCUAGGCUGUACUGCCGCAAGGCUUCACAGGCAGCCCCCAUUACUUCAGUCAAGCCCAAAUUUCAUCCUCAUCUGUUACCUAUCUCGGCAUAAUUCUCAUAAAAACAUACGUGCUUUCCCUGCUGAUCGUGUCCGAUUAAUCUCCCAAACCUCAAUCCCUUACAAAACAACAACUCCUUUCCUUCCUAGGCAUAGUGUGGUCAGAAUUCUUACACAAGAGCCAGGACCACACCCUGUAGCCUUUCUGUGCAAAGAACUUGACCUUACUGUUUUAGCCUAGCCCUCAUGUCUGCGUGCAGCGGCUGCCGCUGCUUUAAUACUUUUAGAGGCCCUCAAAAUCACAGACUAUGCUCAACUCACUCUCUACACUUCUCAUAACUUCCAAAAUCUAUUUUCUUCCUCAUACCUGAUGCAUAUACUUUCUGCUCCCUGGCUCCUUCAGCUGUACUCACUCUUUAAGUCCCACAAUUACCAUUGUUCCUGGCCUGGACUUCAGUCUGGCCUUGCACAUUAUUCCUGAUACCACACCUGACCCCCAUGACUGUAUCUUUCUGAUCCACCUGAUAUUCACCCCAUUUCCCCAUAUUUCCUUCUUCUUUCCUGUUCCUCACCCUGAUCAUGCUUGAUUUAUUGAUAGCGGUUCCACCAGGCCUAAUCGCCACACACCAGCAAAGGCAGGUUAUACUAUAGUACAAGCCACUAGCCCCCCGCCUCUUAGAACCUCUCAUUUCCUUUCCAUCGUGGAAGUCUAUCCUCAAGGAAAUAACUUCUCAGUGUUCCAUCUGCUAUUCUACUACUCCUCAGGGAUUAUUCAGGCCCCCUCCCUUCCCUACACAUCAAGCUCCAGGAUUUGCCCCACCCAGGACUGGCAAAUUAGCUUUACUCAACAUGCCCAAGUCAGGAAACUAAAAUACCUCUUAGUCUAGGUAGACAUUUUCACUGGAUAGGUAGAGGCCUUUCCUACAGGGUCUGAGAAGGCCACCGCAGUCAUUUCUUCCGUUCUGUCAGACAUAAUUCCUCAGUUUAGCCUUCCCACCUCAAUACAGUCUGAUAACAGAUAAGCCUUUAUUAGUCAAAUCAGCCAAGCAGUUUUUCAGGCUCUUAGUAUUCAGUGAAACCUUUAUAUCCCUUACGGUCCUCCGUCUUCAAGAAAAGUAGAAUGGACUAAAGGCCUUUUAAAAACACACCUCACCAAGCUCAGCCACCAAAAAGGACUGGACAAUACUUUUACCACUUUCCCUUCUCAGAAUUCAGGCCUGUCCUCGGAAUGCUACAGGGUACAGCCCAUUUAAGCCCCUGUAUAGACGCUCCUUUUUAUUAGGCCCCAGUCUCAUUCCAGACACCAGACCAACUUAGACAGUGCCCCAAAAAACUUGUCAUCCCUACUAUCUUCUGUCUAGUCAUACUCCUAUUCACCGUUCUCAACUACUCAUACAUGCCCUGCUCUUGUUUACACUGCCAGUUUACACUGUUUUUCCAAGCCAUCACAGCUGAUAUCUCCCGGUGCUAUCGCCAAACUGCCACUCUUAACUCUUGAACUAAAUAAAUAAUCUUUGCUGGCAGGACUAUGCUGAAUCUCCUUAGGCACUCUCUAAUCAGAUGCCCUAGGUCCUCCCAAUUCUUAGACCUUUUAUACCUGUCUUUCUCCUUCUGUUAUUCCAUUUAGUUUCUCAAUUCAUCCAAAACCGUAUCCAGGCCAUCACCAAUCAUUCUAUACGACAAAUGUUUCUUCUAACAUCCCCACAGUAUCACCACUUACCUCAAGGCCUCCCUUCAGCUUAAUCUCUCCCACUCUAGGUUCCCACGCCGCCCCUAACCCCACUCGAAGCAGCCCUGAGAAACAUCGCCCAUUCUCUCUCCAUACCACCCCCCAAAAAUUUUCGCUGCCCCAACACUUCAACACUAUUUUGUUUUAUUUUUCUUAUUAAUAUAAGAAGGCAGGAAUGUCGGACCUCUGAGCCCAAGCCAAGCCAUCGCAUCCCCUGUGACUUGCACAUAUACGCCCAGAUGGCCUGAAGUAACUGAAGAAUCACAAAAGAAGUGAAUAUGCCUUGCCCCACCUUAACUAAUGACAUUCCACCACAAAAGAAGUGUAAAUGGCCGGUCCUUGCCUUAAGUGAUAACAUUACCUUGUGAAAGUCCUUUUCCUGGCUUAUCCUGGCUCAAAAAGCACCCCCACUGAGCACCUUGCGACCCCCCCACUCCUGCCCACCAGAGAACAACCCUCCUUUGACUGUAAUUUUCCUUUACCUACCCACAUCCUAUAAAACAGCCCCACCCCUAUCUCCGUUCGCUGACUCUCUUUUCGGACUCAGCCCGCCUGCACCCAGGUGAAAUAAACAGCCAUGUUGCUCACACAAAGCCUGUUUGGUGGUCUCUUCACACGGACACGCAUGAAACUCUGUUCCUCAAUUCAUUCAUUCUCCCUAGUAAUCAUUUAUUGCCCCCCACCAACAGAAUUUUUCUCCCAUUCCCAUAACCUGCUUUGCCAGAAUCCAAGCCCCCAUUCUUUCAGUAACCUCAAGAUGGUAUAUAAAUUUCUGCACCCCAUUGGGAGUGGAUCUUCAUUUUGAAGGCUCCCAUGUACAUGUUAAAUACAUUUGUAUGUCUUUUCUCCUACUAAUCUGCCUCUUGUCAGUUAUUUUCAGAGAACUUUCAGAGGGUAAAGAAGUUUUCCCUUGGCCCCAACAUUGUUCAGUUACUGAAUACUGAUUAACCAUUCAUUAUAAUUUUUUUAAAAAGACCUUUGUGAAAGAAUAGAAAUAUCCUAAAUACUCACAGUUUGUUUAUUGUGUUGCCAGUGGAGGGUCUUGACUACGAGUUGUCCAGGUCCUUCGCAUUUUAAACAAAUAAUUGAACAAAACGCACUAAGUAGCAGAGGCAUGAAAUGCGGGGAUGAAGCAGCGAAAGCAGGAAUUUAUGAAAUCGAGAAAGCACUCCGCAGGGUGGCAGUGGGCCCGAGCAAGUGGCUUAAGAGCCCAGUUACAAACUUUUCCAGGCUUUAAGUACCCCCUUUGAGGUUCUUAUCGGCUACCCCUUAUCUGGAUGAAAGAUUUGGUCUGUGGCUAAAGGCUGAGGUGAAUUGGUGCCCUAUGCAGAUAAAGGGAUGGUCUCUGGUUGGCCUGCGGCCAGUCUAAGGCACUCUCCUUUCCCAUCUGAGAUGUGGUGGAAGGGGAAGGAUUUUAGGGAGAGUAGCCUUUGAUCCCUUGUUACUAGGCAUGGGGAAAUUGGGUUUUUCUAUUUUGGUUUAGCUUUAAGAAGUUUGUGUUAAUUGGCCUUAGAUUGCCUGCCCCCAGACCCAGGUGUUUUCCUUUUGAUCCAGCUUUGGGAAGUCAGUGCAAAUUGGCCUUAGAUUUCCUGCCCCCAGACCUUGGUGUUAUUUCUUUUAGGAAGUUAGCACAAAUUGGCCUUAAGUUCCCUGUCUCCAGACCCUAUUCUCCUGCCUCAAUUGUACACGUUGAGAUAGACUUCUGAUAUUUUUGUGGCCUAUUUCUCACUGGAGCACACACUUUUAACUUGGUUGCUGUAAACCAAAACUAAAAUUCUAAGCCCCUCAACCAUCUGAAUUGACCUCUCCUCUUGGCCAAGGGAAUUCCAAAGUUAACCUGAAAAACUAGAUCAGGCCAUGAUGGGAAGCUGGGGUUGGAUAUGCCACAUUAUUCCCUCCUCCCUUUUGGAAUUCAGGCACAGCUGACCAGCGUUAACAUUAAAACAGAUCUUAAGACUGACAAAGCAGACUCUUUAUAGCAAUGAGACACCAAAUUCCAGCCUGACUCUAGUAUAGCAUCACAUGAAAGAUACGAGACCCUGAAAUAAGUCAAAGUAUUUUACCCCAAAUAUGUUUCUUUGUCAUAUCUUGAAAUAGUCCUGCAAAGCCAUCUCUUGAGGGGAAAAUAUACAUUCUGAAGAGAAUCAUCUGUCUUUUCCAGGACUUUUUCCUUGUCCAGGAGAGAAUCAACUCUGAUAAGAAACAUUUACAAUCUAUUUUCUCUGAAGCUUGCUACCUGGAGGCUUCCCCUAUGUAACAGGAACCUUGGUCUCCACAACCCGUUAUCUCAAUCCAGACAUCCCCUUCUAUUGAUUCUGGGUUUUUAGACAAUAACUUACCUCUUUCAACCAAUUGCCAAUCAGAAAAUCUUUGAAUCUACUCAUGACCUGGAAGUCCCCCAUUGCUCUGAGUUGUCCCACCUUUCUGUACUGAACUGUUGCAGGAAAAGGGUCCUGAUACAGAUUUCAAGAGAUGGCUCUUGGAUCUUGCACAAGAAAGAAUCUGGGGCAAGUCCACAGAGUAAAAUGAAAGCAAGUUUAUUAAGAAAGUAAAGGAAUGGAAGAACAGCUACUCCACAGACAGAGCAGGGCAUUCUCAAAAGCAAGAGGAGGAACACGCUCACCUUAGCCUUCUUUAGUGGAGUUGAGGCAUUCCACAUGUUCCAUCAUAGCUGAUCCAGAUACAGAAACUACAAAGAAAUACAGUGCAUAUGAAGCAACCCAAGGUCAGGUAAUAUUUCCAAGUAACAAUUUCCUGGACUGUAUUUCAACUCCCAUCUUUUUCUUGCCCUUGUUUUAAGAGCCAAGGAUUUGAGACAGAACACUGAAGAUUGAUUCACAAAGGCAGCACAAUUUGUUUAAAAUUGUGAGAUAUGUAAUUUACGUGAACCUGAUAUUUUAAUAAAAAUAUGAAAAAUAUAAAA